GGAUCCGGCGGCGCUGCUGCUGACGAUGUGCGGCGGUGACGCGGUGAAGCUCUUUGACAUCAGGGUGGAGUCCGGCGACCCCUGCGUCCUUGCCUACGCCCCGCGCCCGGCAACCCCGUCAACGCUGUCAAUGACGUUGUGGUGGUCGGCUGCAGGCCCGGAUGGUGUGUGGCAGCAAACCCCUUCUUCCCUCCCCCUCGAUUGGUGCCCCCUGAUCCGCUACGCGCUCGCCGCCACCGUCGUCGUGUCGGUAAAAUUGACUACCCGAGCUCCCCCUCCCUCCCCGCUCCGACCUACACAAGCGCCUCCUUGCUCUCCUUGGUGACCAGGUAACCCAAUGACACACCCCUAUUGCGAAUCAUCAUGUGACUCUCCGGCUGUCCAGUUGAUGGGAUUGAUGGGCUUGCGUGUUUCGUAUGUGUCUUUUUUGCAUCGAAUCUGAGUAUGAUGUGGUUUAUUUCUGAAUCGAUCCAAUGGCCCCAGAUCUAGGUUUACUCUAUCGCUCUGUUUUAGAGGUCGAGCUUUAUUUAGUUACUAUGGGUUGAAGCACUGUACAUCGCAGAGGCAUUCAGAGAGUUCCAGUAUGUACAUGUUCUUGCUCCUGCUGUUUCUUUUCCUCUGAAAUACUGCUGCAUGUGCUAUUGUGCGUAAUAGUUGGUACUUAUAUAUGGGUUACAUUUCUAAAUAAAUGUUGUUAGGCGUAGCUUAGCUAUGCUUAGUAGUUGCUAGGUGUUAAUUUAGUAUUAUUAUAUCUUGACUCAUGACUAACUUUUCUUUAUUUGCAGGAAUGAAAUUUGCCAUUUAGUGGCCAUGAGAUAUAUCCAGGGAAGAGUAUUAGGUUCAUUCAUUCCGGUUCCCAGCCUGGCUUAUCUGUUGAUCCUGCACUGCUGGGAUGGGUACAGGAGGGGAGCAAAGGGAAUGUUGGUGCCCGGAUAUCGACGAGAAGUGACUGCCCACACAGCCAGCUACACCAAUUGUCGUCAAGGUAGCUUCAUGCUCAGCGGCUAGCUGCCCUCUCUCCUCUUCCCACUCCUCUGCUAUUGUUCGUCAGAUGUCUGCAUUGUUUUAUUUGGUUUGCUAUUGCCUCGGCGAAUCGCAGUGACAGUUGGUCGUCGCAGGUUCUUCACUAAUCCUUAUCUCCCUUUCUUUAAUUGAUGUAUUUUAGAUUCACUCUUGCGCAUUUCCGCUAUAACAAAAUCAAGUAGCUAGGUAUGUUAAUACACUGGCAAAAUAUGAUCAUCUCAACCCUUUUCAGGCCUUCGGGGACACAUGAAUUCCUUUAGGGACACAUGAAGUUUUGUUUGGUUCUUUUGAAUGUCAUUGUCGCACAUGAUAUAUUGACGUGUCUAUAACCAAUGUGUUUCUAUAGGAAUGUCAGUAAAACGAAAAGUAUUUUACGAGUUUGGUGUUUUCUACCUGCAGCACUAAUUGUUAUGUUGCUCUAAUUAUCCCAAAUACAUGGAUCUGUAUCUAAUCUAAAGUAGGAGAUGGCCUAGAGGUGAGACUGAACAAAGGAAGCCCACAUGUUUGACUAUCCCUUCCCAUGUGUUUUUUAUGGCACAUAGAACUCACUGCAUAAAGUUGCAGUAAUAUAAAUAAAAGAUGUUUGAGGUGUGAAAAGCAGCCUUCCACGAUGAGAAGCUAAUUAUCCCUGUGAUGCCUGGCUCUGAUGUUUGGCAAGAUUUCAAGCAUCAAUUGUGCUCCAUUGGUUGAUUAAUUUGUAUUUUCAGCGAUUGAUGUUUCUAAUUAGAUCUACCUUUCUUCAAUUUGUUCCAGAUAACAUUCCUGACAGGGCGCGAUGGCGGCGGACAGUUGGCUCAGGGCCUCAUGCUUGUGCUUCAUAGGCCGCAACUCCGCUAAGGGCGUGGGCACGACGGCAUAGCUGGUCGCCGCUAGGGCGGGAGGUGCUGGGCAGGCUAGCAGCCCCAGCAACCAGGCCCUCGGCCAACAGCGGCAGGUCGCCAAGUGAGAGGAGGCGCCCGGCGGCAUUUUGCAUCCAAGCAUUGCCAACGACAACUUGUACCUUUAUUUCCUUGAUUAACGAUUAUUAGUACUGACAUAUUGCGGACUUUUUUACUGUUCAACUGCUCUUUUUUCCAAAGGUGGGAAUACCCAACUUUCGAAUCCUGGCUCCGCCACUGAUCCAUGCAACCCGUGGAGCCGAGCUGUGCCGGCCAGCAUCGCCGUGAAGUCGCCCCUGUCCGGCGGGAUGAAGAACAAGGGACCCCCACUGAAGAUGGCCAUGCCCACGCUGUCGCCGCUUGUCAUCUUGCCGUCGCUCGGGAGGCAGAGCGCCAUCUUGUU